CCUACGGGAGGCUGCAGUAGGGAAUAUUGCGCAAUGGAGGAAACUCUGACGCAGCGACGCCGCGUGGGCGAUGAAGGCUUUCGGGUCGUAAAGCCCUGUCGGAAGAGAAGAAAAAUCCUGUGGCUAAUAUCCACAGGACUUGACGGUACCUUCAGAGGAAGCACCGGCUAACUACGUGCCAGCAGCCGCGGUAAUACGUAGGGUGCAAGCGUGCGUCGGAAUCAUUGGGCUUGUAGCGUAUGUCGGUGGUGAAAGCCCCGGGCUCAACCUGGGAAGUGCAUCCGAAACUAGUUGACUAGAAGACAGUAGAGGAAGGUGGAAUUCCAAGUGUAGAGGUGAAAUUCGUAGAUAUUUGGAGGAAUACCGGCGGCGAAGGCGGCCUUCUGGGCUGUUCUUGACACUGAGACGCGAAAGCGUGGGUAGCAAACAGGAUUAGAUACCCGAGUAGUC
rnacentral:rRNA from 1 species